rnacentral:ncRNA from 1 species
GAUAUUCAAAGGAUAAGUAUAAGACCUUAAUUUGAGAAUC